rnacentral:misc_RNA from 1 species
UUUCCGUAGGUGAACCUGCGGAAGGAUCAUUAUCGAGUUAGGGUCUCUGGCCCGACCUCCAACCCUGUGUCUACUAUACCAUGUUGCUUUGGCGGGCCCGCGCUCGCCGAAGACACCCUUGAACUCUGUCUGAAGUUUGCAGUCUGAGCGAAAACUAAAUAAGUUAAAACUUUCAACAACGGAUCUCUUGGUUCCG